GACGUAGGAAGCAAGCGUUGUCCGGAAUUACUGGGCGUAAAGGGUGCGUAGGCUGUUUUUUAAGUCUGAUGUGAAAUCCUGUGGCUUAACCAUAGAACUGCAUCAGAUACUGGGAGACUAGAGUGCGGAAGAGGUUGACGGAAUUACUAGUGUAGCGGUAGAAUGCCUAGAUAUUAGUAAGAAGACCGGUGGCGAAGGCGGUCAACUGGGACGUAACUGACGCUGAGGCACGAAAGCGUGGGGAGCAAACAGG
rnacentral:rRNA from 1 species